UAAAGAAUUUCGGACAUCGAUGGGGAUGCGUUCCAUUAGCUUGUUGGCGGGGUAACGGCCCACCAAGGCAUCGAUGGAUAGGGGUUCUGAGAGGAAGGUCCCCCACAUUGGAACUGAGACACGGUCCAAACUCCUACGGGAGGCAGCAGUGAGGAAUAUUGGUCAAUGGGCGCUAGCCUGAACCAGCCAAGUAGCGUGAAGGAUGACUGCCCUAUGGGUUGUAAACUUCUUUUAUAUGGGAAUAAAGUGCAGUAUGUAUACUGCUUUGCAUGUACCUUAUGAAUAAGGAUCGGCUAACUCCGUGCCAGCAGCCGCGGUAAUACGGAGGAUCCGAGCGUUAUCCGGAUUUAUUGGGUUUAAAGGGAGCGUAGGCGGGUUGUUAAGUCAGUUGUGAAAGUUUGCGGCUCAACCGUAAAAUUGCAGUUGAUACUGGCAUCCUUGAGUACAGUAGAGGUAGGCGGAAUUCGUGGUGUAGCGGUGAAAUGCUUAGAUAUCACGAAGAACUCCGAUUGCGAAGGCAGCCUGCUGGACUGUAACUGACGCUGAUGCUCGAAAGUGUGGGUAUCAAACAGGAUUAGAUACCCUGGUAGUCCACACAGUAAACGAUGAAUACUCGCUGUUUGCGAUAUACAGUAA
rnacentral:rRNA from 1 species